CACGCAGGCGGGAAGGAAGGUCGGGUGUGAAAGCCCGGGGCUCAACCCCGGAAUUGCACUCGAAACCGCCCUCCUUGAGUACGGGAGAGGGAAGUGGAAUUCCUGGUGUAGAGGUGAAAUUCGUAGAUAUCAGGAGGAACACCUGUGGCGAAGGCGACUUCCUGGACCAAUACUGACGCUGAGGCGCGAAGGCGUGGGGAGCAAACA
rnacentral:rRNA from 1 species